rnacentral:rRNA from 1 species
GACGAACGCUGGCGGCGUGCCUAAUACAUGCAAGUCGAACGCAGUGGGGACGGGUGAGUAACACGUGGGUAACCUCCCAUCAGAGGGGAUAACACUUGGAAACAGGUGCUAAACCGAUACUGAUGGAUGGACCCGCGGUGCAUUAGCUAGUUGGUGAGGUAACGGCUCACCAAGGCCACGAUGCAUAGCCGCCCUGGAAGGGUGACCGGCAACACUGGGACUGGGAAACGGCCCGGACUCCUACGGGGGGAGGCAGUGGGGAUUCUUCGGAAAUGGACGAAAGUCUGACCGGGAAACGCCGCGUGAGUGAAGAAGGUCUUCGGAUCGUAAAACUCGGUUAUUAGGGCGGCGGUACCUAAUCAGAAAGCCACGGCUAACUACGUGCCAGCAGCCGCGGUAAUUC